UUGGAGGGCAAGUCUGGUGCCAGCAGCCGCGGUAAUUCCAGCUCCAAUAGCGUAUAUUAAAGUUGUUGCAGUUAAAAAGCUCGUAGUUGAAUUUCGGGGUCAGCAAGUUGGUCGUGCCACUGGUAUGCACUGGCUUUGCUGAUUCCUCCUUCUUGUAGAACCGUAAUGCCAUUAAGUUGGUGUUGCGGGGAAACAGGACUGUUACUUUGAAAAAAUUAGAGUGUUUAAAGCAGGCUAACGCUUGAAUACAUUAGCAUGGAAUAAUGAAAUAGGACGACGAUCCUAUUUUGUUGGUUUCUAGGAUCGACGUAAUGAUUAAUAGGGAUAGUUGGGGGCAUUAGUAUUCAAUUGUCAGAGGUGAAAUUCUUGGAUUUAUUGAAGACUAACUACUGCGAAAGCAUUUGCCAAGGAUGUUUUCAUUAAUCAAGAACGAAAGUUAGGGGAUCGAAGACGAUCAGAUACCGUCGUAGUCUUAACCAUAAACUAUGCCGACUAGGGAUCGGAUGAUGUUAAUUUUUUAAUGACUCAUUCGGCGCCUUACGGGAAAC
rnacentral:rRNA from 1 species